GAUCCUGGCUCAGAUUGAACGCUGGCGGCAGGCUUAACACAUGCAAGUCGAGCGGAGACUUCGGUCUUAGCGGCGGAACGGGUGAGUAAUACCUAGGAAUCUGCCUAUUAGGUGGGGGAUAACGAAUCGAAAGGUUCGCUAAUACCGCAUACGUCCUACGGGAGAAAGGGGGGGAUCUUCGGACCUCUCGCUAAUAGAUGAGCCUAGGCCGGAUUAGCUAGUUGGUGGGGUAAAGGCCUACCAAGGCGACGAUCCGUAGCGGGUCUGAGAGGAUGAUCCGCCACACUGGGACUGAGACACGGCCCAGACUCCUACGGGAGGCAGCAGUGGGGAAUUUUGGACAAUGGGCGAAAGCCUGAUCCAGCCAUGCCGCGUGAGUGAAGAAGGCCUUCGGGUUGUAAAGCUCUUUCGGUGGGGAAGAAAUUGCAUAGGCUAAUACCCUGUGUAGAUGACGGUACCUGGAGAAGAAGCACCGGCUAACUACGUG
rnacentral:rRNA from 1 species